CUCCCCAGGGCCAAGAAGAACAAGCCUAAUACCUCUUCUAUAUGACCAUCCUUCAAAUAAUCGAAGAUAACCAUCAUGUCCCCUCCCCUUGAAUCUUCUUUUCUCAAGGUUAAACAACCCAAUUAUUUUGGCUUCUCAUAUGACAUCCAUCCUAAGCCCUAAGGAUCAUAUGUCUACAAACUGAGACAACUUUUGCCAUUUUCUAGUCCUGUGGCCCUUGUUCUUCACAACUCUUCAAAGAUCACUAACAAUGGCACAGCAGUCACUUCUUUAAGUUCUUUUAUUACCCUGGGAUUCAUAGAGGCUUGUGGACUUGAAGUCAUAAAAAUCAGGCCAAUGUUCAUUCUUAGAAUGCAAAAUGAGUGUCUAACAGUUCUGUCUUCUCUCUGUCCUCUGGUAUCUAAAGCAGUGCUCCCAUCCUCUUUCAUACUGAGAUUUUCCCCAAUAUAAUUGGAAAAAACUCAAAACCUCAUGUUGUCUUUAGUUUUCAUCACAAUCCUGUGUUCACUCCAAGGUUUAGAGCUCCUGACACCAUUCUUAUAGGGCUAUGCUGCUUUUUUUUGUAUUCAUUCAGUCCUUCCUUAUUUUCAUCUCCUUUAUCUAUCUUCUUUUCUGUACCUGUUUUUCAAAAGUUCAAGGUGAUUGAUGAGUACCCUGUGCAUCCACAUUCUUUGAUUUAGACAACUCCCUUUUAUUAUCUCCUCAAUAGAAUAUUCUUUAUAUCUUUAGAAUCCCAUUCUUGGAUGCUUUUCAACCUUCAUGAUCUGCUUUCCUCUGUAGAAUUUUGAUAAAAAUACUUCUACAAAGUAUUUUAAUAUUGAUCCAGUGGAUUCUAUCUCUCCUGUCUCUUAACUGUAUAGGUUAUAAUAGCAAUUGCCAUUUAUGUAAUGUUUUAAGUUUUA